rnacentral:rRNA from 1 species
CCUAUUAGUGGGGGACAACAUUCCGAAAGGAAUGCUAAUACCGCAUACGCCCUACGGGGGAAAGCAGGGGAUCUUCGGACCUUGCGCUAAUAGAUGAGCCUAAGUCAGAUUAGCUAGUUGGUGGGGUAAAGGCCUACCAAGGCGACGAUCUGUAGCGGGUCUGAGAGGAUGAUCCGCCACACUGGGACUGAGACACGGCCCAGACUCCUACGGGAGGCAGCAGUGGGGAAUAUUGGACAAUGGGCGAAAGCCUGAUCCAGCCAUGCCGCGUGUGUGAAGAAGGCCUUUUGGUUGUAAAGCACUUUAAGCGAGGAGGAGGCUACUUAGAUUAAUACUCUAGGAUAGUGGACGUUACUCGCAGAAUAAGCACCGGCUAACUCUGUGCCAGCAGCCGCGGUAAUACAGAGGGUGCGAGCGUUAAUCGGAUUUACUGGGCGUAAAGCGUGCGUAGGCGGCUUCUUAAGUCGGAUGUGAAAUCCCUGAGCUUAACUUAGGAAUUGCAUUCGAUACUGGGAAGCUAGAGUAUGGGAGAGGAUGGUAGAAUUCCAGGUGUAGCGGUGAAAUGCGUAGAGAUCUGGAGGAAUACCGAUGGCGAAGGCAGCCAUCUGGCCUAAUACUGACGCUGAGGUACGAAAGCAUGGGGAGCAAACAGGAUUAGAUACCCUGGUAGUCCAUGCCGUAAACGAUGUCUACUAGCCGUUGGGGCCUUUGAGGCUUUAGUGGCGCAGCUAACGCGAUAAGUAGACCGCCUGGGGAGUACGGUAGCAAGACUAAAACUCAAAUGAAUUGACGGGGGCCCGCACAAGCGGUGGAGCAUGUGGUUUAAUUCGAUGCAACGCGAAGAACCUUACCUGGUCUUGACAUAGUAAGAACUUUCCAGAGAUGGAUUGGUGCCUUCGGGAACUUACAUACAGGUGCUGCAUGGCUGUCGUCAGCUCGUGUCGUGAGAUGUUGGGUUAAGUCCCGCAACGAGCGCAACCCUUUUCCUUAUUUGCCAGCGGGUUAAGCCGGGAACUUUAAGGAUACUGCCAGUGACAAACUGGAGGAAGGCGGGGACGACGUCAAGUCAUCAUGGCCCUUACGACCAGGGCUACACACGUGCUACAAUGGUCGGUACAAAGGGUUGCUACCUAGCGAUAGGAUGCUAAUCUCAAAAAGCCGAUCGUAGUCCGGAUUGGAGUCUGCAACUCGAC